ensembl:snRNA U6 U6 spliceosomal RNA
GUGCUUGCUUCAGCAGCGCAUACACUGAAAGAUUGAAACAACACAGAGAAGGUUAGCACGGUCCCUGGGCAGGGAUGACACGCAAAUUUGUGAAGCGUUCCACAAAAAA